AUGAACGCUGGCGGCGUGCCUAAUACAUGCAAGUCGAGCGCACAGACGAGGAGCUUGCUCCUCUGACGUUAGCGGCGGACGGGUGAGUAACACGUGGAUAACCUACCUAUAAGACUGGGAUAACUUCGGGAAACCGGAGCUAAUACCGGAUAAUAUAUUGAACCGCAUGGUUCAAUAGUGAAAGACGGUUUUGCUGUCACUUAUAGAUGGAUCCGCGCCGCAUUAGCUAGUUGGUAAGGUAACGGCUUACCAAGGCGACGAUGCGUAGCCGACCUGAGAGGGUGAUCGGCCACACUGGAACUGAGACACGGUCCAGACUCCUACGGGAGGCAGCAGUAGGGAAUCUUCCGCAAUGGGCGAAAGCCUGGCGGAGCAACGCCGCGUGAGUGAUGAAGGUCUUCGGAUCGUAAAACUCUGUUAUUAGGGAAGAACAAAUGUGUAAGUAACUAUGCACGUCUUGACGGUACCUAAUCAGAAAGCCACGGCUAACUACGUG
rnacentral:rRNA from 1 species